GAUGAACGCUAGCGGCAGGCUUAAUACAUGCAAGUCGUGGGGCAGCAUGAGUAGCAAUACUUGAUGGCGACCGGCAAACGGGUGAGGAACACGUACACAACCUUCCUUCAAGCGGGGAAUAGCCCAGAGAAAUUUGGAUUAAUACCCCAUAAUAUAUUUGAUAAGGCAUCUUAUUAAUAUUAAAGCUUCGGCACUUGAUGAUGGGUGUGCGGCUGAUUAGAUAGUUGGCGGGGUAACGGCCCACCAAGUCUACGAUCAGUAGCUGAUGUGAGAGCAUGAUCAGCCACACGGGCACUGAGACACGGGCCCGACUCCUACGGGAGGCAGCAGUAAGGAAUAUUGGACAAUGGACGAAAGUCUGAUCCAGCCAUGCCGCGUGAAGGAUUAAGGUCCUCUGGAUUGUAAACUUCUUUAUAUGGGACGAAAAAGGGCAUUCUUGUUCACUUGACGGUACCAUAUGAAUAAGCACCGGCUAACUCCGUGCCAGCAG
rnacentral:rRNA from 1 species